UUUUUUUUUUUUUUGCAUGGGAGUUCAAAGCCUGGGUGAGCAACAGCAGGGCCCCAGCUCCUGCUGGACGCUUUAUAAUGGUGGCAUAUACAUUUUUGUACACCAGUAUUUAGUUUCACAUCCCUUCUGCUAGCUUGGGCAAAGCCAAAGGCCAUUUCACCCACUUGCAGGAUGCCGGACUGGCACGCCAGGAGGGAAAUGCUGUUUCUCUCCUUUUAAGGCUGGCUGCACCGUCCAGGCCCGGUUGGAGAGCUGCAGUGGGCAGCAGGAAGACGCAGCAUGCUGUCGUGUUGGGGCCUCGGCUGCAGACAGGGCAGUGGCAGCCUGCUGGGCAGGAGCUGUGGAGCCUGGGAAUAAAGCACCAAUGGCUGCUCUGCGAAAAUGCUGCAGAGUCUCUCUGGAUGCUGCUGGAGAUGCUGUUUCGUAACUCUUUCUGCAAACAGCUGAGUUUGGGCCACCAAAUGCCCUGCCUCAUCCUGUCUGCCACUCGCUCAGCAGGGCUGCUGGGAGAGGGAGCAAAGGCGGGACCAUGGGGCUUGGGGGCCACCGGGGGUUCCCAGAGCCGGUCCCAGCCGCCUGCUUGGAUACAGCCCGCCCUGGGAGGACAGCUUGUGCUGCUUUGCACAGCAAAGUGCAAUCCCUGCAGUGCCAAAAUGCGAGGGUUUGGGGAACUUUAGUGUCAAAGCACAGCCAUGAACACUCAAAUGGGGAAAAUACCUGUGGGUCAGUGUUUGGGGCUGCUGUUCCUGUGGGGAGGAAGGAAAGGGUCACCAAAUGAGCGGACAGUAUUAUAUUGUGAGACUGUAAACUUUAAAAAGAAAGGGGGGAGGGGAGGGAGGGAAGAGAGAGAGAGAGAGAGAAAGAGACAAAUCUACAUCCAGUCCAGAAAACCCAAAGAUUAUAUUACAUAGUCAGGGGAAAUGCAAUAGCACACUCAUCCAUCCCUAAAUGACCAAGACAAAGAGCUGACAAAAAUCAGGGGAAAUCCCAUUGUUUUGUUAACAUGAAAGGCGUAAAAUCAAGAAACAGGGCCUCAAAGGUACAUAUCACUACCACUAUCAGUCCUUGGGAUUUUCAAAUUUUGGACAUAUUUAGUAACAGGAAAGAACCUGAAUCAAGGCCUGCCUGCCACCUCAUCCCCCAAAUCUGUCCACCCAAUGGAGCCUGCACAUCAGGAUUUCAGUCAUCAUGGGGCUCACCCUCACUUCUGGGGACCUUGAAGAGUUGGGGGUGUUUUAGAGGGGCCAUGGAUGUGCCACUCCCAUGCCACACAAGAGGGUUGGAUCCCAAACACACCAUUCAGCUAAAGCAGCCACCAAAGCUGUACAAUACCUGAGAACAGAAGCAGUGCUAGGAUCCUGCCCACCAUGGCAAGCACCAUUCCUCACCCUGCAUACACUGCAAGUGGCAGAACAUCCCUGCGAUGCUGUGCCUGCACUUCUCCCUCAGGACAGAGAACCAGCAAAGACUGCAGGUGACACCAGAUCUAACAACAGUCUCAGAAACCCCCAGAUCCAGAUGUUUCUAUAAACUCAACAUUAUAGUGGUUUUCAUGAAAAAUCAGUCAUGAAGCUCUGGUCAAAAAGGUACAUAUCGCUUCUGCAGAUUAGCAUACCUCUGCCCUCACCAUGGCUUCCUACUUUGACAUGUUGUCGUGGUUUGAGCCCAGCCGGUAACUCAGAACCACACAGCCGCUCGCUCACUCCCCCCCCCCCCCUUCCUCCCCCCGCUCCCGGAGGGAUGGGGAGAAGAAUGGGAAGAAUGUAACUCCC
rnacentral:lncRNA from 1 species